UGAAAAUUAUACGUUUCUCUUUCUCAAGAAUUUAAUAUUGAGGACUGAGGUGAUAAAAAGACACAUGGUGAUAACAGUCGGUCAAUGUUUUCGGAUUGGUUCGUCUAGAAUCGGAUAACUUCGGUUUCAUUUUCAUCCGGCGAUGAUUUUGAUAUCAAAUGAAGCACUGUUCGAAUGUCUUUGGAAAGUAAGCUACUACGAGUAAAUCAAUGGACGAAAUGAAAACACUUCAAAUAUUCCUAGAAAAUGUCCAUGAUUUUUCAGGAAAUGCUCUACUCGAAAUUGCAGAACUUCAAGCAAACAGAAAACGUCGAAUAAUUUUCAUCUGAAAGACUGAAACACAGAUCUACCAGUCGAAAUCAACGUGUAAAAAAUAACAAAACGUAAUCAAGUAAGAACACGAAUCAUUUUAAUACAAAAAAAGAAAAAGAAAAAUAUUUCUAUAAAAUUUUAACAUAAUAAUAAUAAUAAUACGCGAAAGACACCUUAAAUAGAGAAAGAAAAACAAACGUGACAAAAUACAAUUCACGAUCCAUCUUUAGAAAUAACCUCGCACAAGGCACUAAUAGUGGACGAAUCGCUUUCCACUUUAUUAGCAGCGCAUUUCUUCAUACGAUCGACGUAGAAAUCAACGAGAUCGUUUUUCACGUAUUUACUGGCGAUGUUUCGAAAUAUAGAUAUGUCUUCUUCCAAAGUAGACUUUUCGCUGUUAUAAGGAGACGUGUAUCUUUUGAUGUCGUUUUCCAAAUUCGUUAUGUUCUGUUUGAGAUUAUCUAUCGUUUCGGAUUUACUCUUUAAACAUUCUUCCAAUUCGAUCAGGACUUCUUCGUUGUCGUUCAUUUCAUCGUGCAGGGUAUCUUUUUCAGGCUGAGCUGCCGCAGGAGUCUGCGAAUAAAUUACGGUGUAGAUUGGUUAGUUUUAAUAUUAUUAUGGUUUUAUAUUGUUGGAGAAAAGAUGAUUUUACUCACUUGUUUUCGCGGUUUACUCAUUGUCUCGAUAACAUGGAAGGAGUUUCCCAACGAUGAAUGAAUAAACUGGUAAUAUCUUAGCGUUGGGAAAUGAAUUUUCGAAGAAAUAGACGAAAAAUAACGAGAUGAAGAGCUUGAAUUUGAAUUAAAUCGAGUGUUUUUCAAAUUCAAAAUGAAAA